GCUGCAGAAAAGCUGCUCAGCAACAAAUCUUCAUGAAAGCAGGACUGAUCGUUAUGAGCAAGGAUGAAGUGUGGACAGAGAAUUAAGGAGGCACUAACUGAACUUGAGCCUGCUGAACAUACCUUCAACUUUGAAUUACCAUCCUAGAACUGAUCCAUCCACUCUAAGAGUAAUGAGUGCCACUUACUUCUGAGAAGAGAUGGGGUCCACCUAACGAAGAAGGGGAAGAGCAUCUUCAUGCACCCACUUGCCAACCUCAGUGAGGAAGGCUUUAAAGGAGAGCGAGGACCUAAGAACCUUAAC